rnacentral:piRNA from 1 species
UGCAUAGGAGAAACACCACGGAUCACAGCGC